rnacentral:tRNA from 1 species
UGAUGCGUAGCUCAGUGGUAGAGCAGCGUCCUUAUAAGUCGCAGGUCGUGGGUUCGAUUCCUGCCGCAUCAAC